AAAGCAGUGAUGCAGAGCAAAUCCCCAAAAGCAGUCUUAGUUCGGAUUGUAGGCUGCAACUCGCCUACAUGAAGUCGGAAUUGCUAGUAAUCGCGGAUCAGCAUGCCGCGGUGAAUACGUUCCCGGGCCUUGUACACACCGCCCGUCACACCAUGGGAGUCGGUAACCACCCGAAGCCUGUAGUCUAACCGCAAGGAGGACGCAGUCGAAGGUGGGAUUGAUGACUGGGGUGAAGUCGUAACAAGGUAUC
rnacentral:rRNA from 1 species